CAAAAGUGUAACGGAAGAUUUCCCCACAACACAAAUUAAAGAUACUUUGUUUCCUUGUUUUAACGUGAAACUGAUUUUCCUUUUUGAUGAAGGCGUUGGGCAUCAGAAUCGAGGGAGGGAUGGGAUGGGGGUGGAAAAGGGGAUUUGGUGAGGAAGGAGUGAAGAGGUGGAGGGGGUUUCAUCAGAAACGAGGGGGGAGAUUGGGAAAAGGGGAAGAAUAACUAUGAUGAUUCUUUCUUUGGUUGAUCCUUCUAAAAUAUGCCCCUGGUAGCCUUCCUCUAGGAAUGAACCAUCCAAUCUGAUGAUUUUUUUUCUCUCUGCUGUCUUUUCUUUUCCUCUCUCUCUCUCUCUCGACUGAAACCAAACCACUGCCUUUCCCUCUCAACUCAAUUAAUUACACCCACAACCCCCUAUCUCAUUUAUUGCGAGUCGUUCGUCACGCUUAAAUAGAACCCAUCUGCCCUUUCAACCUAAUCCUCCCAAUCCUCCUCCUCCUCCUUUUUCAUAAGCCUGGUCCGUAUAUAUUUAUGUUAUCGCUGUCCAUCUCUUUCCCCAGCUGAGCUCAAACAUAAGGGAGGGAGAAGGGUCGUGAAUAAUGCAAACAACAGUGCACAGGCUUUGAUGAGAUCAUGUGGGUUUAGCAAAGCGUUUCUUACAGAGUUUAUUGGCAUUCUGUCCACCUCCUCUCUUUUUCACUCCCUGUGUAUUAGAAGAUAGUACGUGUGGAGGUGGGCAUACUGCCAACUGAGCUCUGUUGGCUUCUCUUUGUAAAACCCUCGUGACCGACGAUGAUAUCUCCCAGCGCUACAUACACUUGCUGAUUGUUAAAAUCUUGUGUUGUAAUUAAUUGUCUGUUAAUCAGGAGGUUGAUGAGCUUUCCUGAGCAGCACAAAGCUUCAUUAAUUAUCUCCAUCCGUAACUCUUUAAAUUUCUUCUGUUUGAUCAUCUUCAUCUAGACUAGAUGGUUUUUAAUUAUUUAGUACUGCGAGUGCUGAUUAUUGGGAUGUAGGGGAGCCCUAGAUUGGGUUUGUUAUUUGCUCAUAGAUCCGUUCUUCCUAAAUCCUUUUUUAUUUAUUUAUGUAGUUAGGGUUGUUCUGAUUUUAUCAGCUAUAGCUUUUCAUUGUUUCCUUUGAAUAUAUCUAUCUUGGGUACGCAAGUUCUAAGUCUUGUAUCAUGAAGAAUUGUGCACACAGGAAGAAGCUAGGAAAGAAGAGCUGCUCUAAACACAUCAUUUGAUUUGAGUGAUCAAAUACUCAAAAGGGAUCAGAAUGGUCAGACGCAGAGCUGACUAAAAUGAUGGCUAACUCCAUCUCCAUCAACUGUACUCUUCAAGUUUGAACAUCCUUCUCUUCUCUUCUCUUCUGCAACAUUAAUCUUUUCCCUUGAUUCUCUUAAUUUGUUGUGUAAAAAUGAAUGAUGCUGAUUGUGAGAGUUAAUCUUAUCCAUUACGGUGAUCAUGGCAUGCAUGCCUCCUCCUCCUCCACUCCACACCACUGUGUUUGUUUAGUGUCAGUAAUUUAAGUUUUAAUUAUGGUUUGGUGGGCCAAACGUCUUUUAAUUAUGCGAUGAGAGGAGCAGGCCAGUCAGCCCUACCAGUGUCCUGUCCAGUAUCACUUGAGAGAAGAGAAGGGAUACGUUUCUUCUAAUGCUCUCUCCAGUCUCCUCCUCCUUGAUCUUGUUGUAGCCAUUUACGUAGCCACGUAGGAUUAUGAUAGAAUGACUGACAACAUUAAUGCCAAUAAAUAUAUACAAUAUAUGCACAAGCAUUACCCACCCACACCACACCCCUACCCCUAUGCGGCGCGUAAAAGGACCACCUCUCUAAUUAAUUUUGACUGUUGAAUUUACAGGGUGCAGAAUUUUAUAUGUUAUUACGUAUGUAUGCACUUGAAGACUAGUGUUUUGCUUUUGUGAGGGACGGGGCACUCUGAAAGCUAGCGCUUGGAGCGGGGUCGCUUUCCGCUGUAAUGGGUGGGGCGGUGACCACAAUGCUUUGCUGGGUGGCAAGAUCCCUCACUCAACUCGUUCACAGGUUACACGACGACGGGCUUCAUUCAGUCAAUAUUCCUUGAUUUUAUUCAAAACACUAAUCUUUCUUAUCUUUGACCUUUAUAUAUAUUCAACCCUACCAUUAUUGACGCUA